UGGGGAGUACGGCCGCAAGGCUAAAACUCAAAGGAAUUGACGGGGACCCGCACAAGCGGUGGAGCAUGUGGUUUAAUUCGAUGCAACGCGAAGAACCUUACCUGGUCUUGACAUACAGAGAACUUUCCAGAGAUGGAUUGGUGCCUUCGGGAACUCUGAUACAGGUGCUGCAUGGCUGUCGUCAGCUCGUGUCGUGAGAUGUUGGGUUAAGUCCCGUAACGAGCGCAACCCUUAUCCUUAUUUGCCAGCACUUCGGGUGGGAACUAUAAGGAGACUGCCGGUGAUAAACCGGAGGAAGGCGGGGACGACGUCAAGUCAUCAUGGCCCUUACGACCAGGGCUACACACGUGCUACAAUGGGAAGGACAAAGGGUCGCUAAGCCGCGAGGUGGUGCUAAUCUCAUAAACCUUUUCGUAGUCCGGAUCGGAGUCUGCAACUCGACUCCGUGAAGUCGGAAUCGCUAGUAAUCGUGGAUCAGAACGCCACGGUGAAUACGUUCCCGGGUCUUGUACACACCGCCCGUCAUACCAUGGGAGUGGGUUGCACCAGAAGUGGGUAGUCUAACUUAGGAGGACGCUCACCACGGUGUGAUUCAUGACUGGGGUAAAGUCGUAACAAGGUA
rnacentral:rRNA from 1 species